GGGUCAGUAGGUUGGUCGUGCCACCGGUACGUACUGGUCUCACUGAUUCCUCCUUCCUGAAGAACCGUAAUGCCAUUAAUUUGGUGUUGCGGGGAAACAGGACUGUUACUUUGGAAAAAUUAGAGUGUUUAAAGCAAGCUAACGCUCGAAUACAUUAGCAUGGAAUAAUGAAAUAGGACGAUCGAUCCUAUUUUGUUGGUUUCUAGGAUUGACGUA
rnacentral:rRNA from 1 species